UACAGAGGAGCCAAGCGUUGUCCGGAUUGACUGGGCGUAAAGGGCUCGUAGGCGGUCUGUUGCGUCGGGAGUGAAAAACUCAGGGCUUAACCCUGAGCCUGCUUCCGAUACGGGCAGACUAGAGGUAUGCAGGGGAGAACGGAAUUCCUGGUGUAGCGGUGGAAUGCGUAGAGAUCCGGAAGAACACCGGUGGCGAAGGCGGCCUGCUGGGCAGUUGCUGACACUGAGGCGCGACAGCGUGGGGAGCAAACAGG
rnacentral:rRNA from 1 species